rnacentral:rRNA from 1 species
CCUACGGGCGGCAGCAGUGAGGAAUAUUGGUCAAUGGGCGCGAGCCUGAACCAGCCAAGUAGCGUGAAGGAUGACUGCCCUACGGGUUGUAAACUUCUUGUAUAAAGGAAUAAAGUGAGGCACGUGUGCCUUUUUGUAUGUACUUUAUGAAUAAGGAUCGGCGAACUCCGGGCCAGCAGCGGCGGUAAUACGGAGGAUCCGAGCGUUAUCCGGAUUUAUGGGGUUUAAAGGGAGCGUAGAUGGGUUGUUAAGUCAGUUGUGAAAGUUUGCGGCUCAACCGUAAAAUUGCCAUUGAUACGGGCAGCCUUGCGUACAGUUGAGGUAGGCGGACUUCGUGGUGUAGCGGU